AUUGAACGCUGGCGGCAUGCCUUACACAUGCAAGUCGAACGGCAGCGUGGACUUCGGUCUGGCGGCGAGUGGCGAACGGGUGAGUAAUACAUCGGAACGUACCCUGUUGUGGGGGAUAACUAGUCGAAAGAUUAGCUAAUACCGCAUACGACCUGAGGGUGAAAGUGGGGGACCGCAAGGCCUCACGCAGCAGGAGCGGCCGAUGUCUGAUUAGCUAGUUGGUGGGGUAAAGGCCCACCAAGGCGACGAUCAGUAGCUGGUCUGAGAGGACGGUCAGCCACACUGGGACGGAGACACGGCCCAGACUCCUACGGGAGGCAGCAGUGGGGAAUUUUGGACAAUGGGGGCAACCCUGAUCCAGCAAUGCCGCGUGUGUGAAGAAGGCCUUCGGGUUGUAAAGCACUUUUGUCCGGAAAGAAAGCGCGCUGGUUAAUACCUGGCGUGGAUGACGGUACCGGAAGAAUAAGCACCGGCUAACUACGUGCCAGCAGCCGCCGUAA
rnacentral:rRNA from 1 species